CCUACGGGAGGCAGCAGUGAGGAAUAUUGGUCAAUGGCCGGAAGGCUGAACCAGCCAUGCCGCGUGAAGGUCAGUGCCCUAUGGGCGUUAAACUUCUUUUGUGCGGGAGCAAUAAUGGUCACGUGUGGCCAGACGAGAGUACCGUACGAAUAAGCAUCGGCUAACUCCGGUCCAGCAGCCGCGGUAAUACGGGGGAUGCAAGCGUUAUCCGGAUUUAUUGGGUUUAAAGGGUGCGGAGGCUGUGAGGUAAGUCAGCGGUGAAAUGCCCGCGCUCAACGGGGUGAAGUGCCAUUGAUACUGCCUGGCUGGAAUGCGGAUGCCGUGGGAGGAAUGUGUGGUGUAGCGGUGAAAUGCAUAGAUAUCACACAGAACACCGAUUGCGAAGGCAUCUCACGAAUCCGCGAUUGACGCUGAUGCACGAAAGCGUGGGUAUCAAACAGGAUUAGAUACCCCAGUAGUC
rnacentral:rRNA from 1 species